UACAGAGGUGGCAAGCGUUGUUCGGAAUUACUGGGCGUAAAGGGCGCGUAGGCGGUCUUGCAAGUCCUGUGUGAAAUCCCUCGGCUCAACUGAGGAACUGCACAGGAAACUGCUUGGCUUGAGUUCGGGAGAGGGAAGCGGAAUUCCGGGUGUAGCGGUGAAAUUCGUAGAUAUUAGGAAGAACACCAGUGGCGAAGGCGGCUCACUGGCCCGGUACUGACGCUGAGGCGCGAAAGCGUGGGGAGCAAACAGG
rnacentral:rRNA from 1 species